AUAUAAUUCACAACACUGCUAAACACGCAGGGAAGAGGUUUUUAGAAAUAUCUGGAUUUGACGCUGAGGACCUUGUGGUUGAUGUUGGAUACUGGUUUAAGGGCAGCACAAACCGUAAAGGUUACUUGAGAGAAUUUUGUGAACUCCAUGGGAGUGACUACAUG